rnacentral:ncRNA from 1 species
UUGCACACACAGAGUUGCAGCAAACCCCUUUGCGAAUCCUAUGAAUGUCCCCUUGGCCCCAGCUGUUGGGGCGGCGCGAGUGAUCGUGUCGUCCUGGCCGGCCAGCCCAAGUCCCCGGGAGCUUGGGGCUCCCUCCCUCCCCCCCUCCCGGGGGAGUGUGGGGGUCUCAUCACCCGGGACUUGGUGUUUCCAAACCGAUUGCGCGAUGCAUCAACACUUUCAACAUGACUGAGUAUAAAAGAGAGGAGAUCGGAGGGGCAUUGGUGCCCCUCCCCUCCCCCUCGAGUUGUAAUAUAUAAACAACUCUCAGCAACGGAUAUCUUGGCUCUUGCAACGAUGAAGAACGCAGCGAAAUGCGAUACGUAGUGUGAAUUGCAGAAUUCCGCGAAUCAUCGAGUCUUUGAACGCAAGUUGCGCCCGAGGCUUGACCAAGGGCAUUUCUGCCAGAGCGUCACCGCGACACCCACCAUUCCACUCCCAACUUGGGAGUGGAUCGAGUGAAAGUGGCCAUCCGAAUGGGGCCACCCGGGACUUCUUCGGUCCCCGGGGUCUUGGUCAGAUUGGGUUGGCUGAAAUGGAGGGAAUUUGGCCGCCGUGGUGACACAGCCCGCGAUCAGGUGAUCCAAGUCUUCUUGGAACUCAAAUGUGCGUCGGCCGUGUCCCCCAGUUGGUACCGAGGAUUCCAAAGCAGGUCCCCCUCUCCCGACCGCUACUUGGUAGUGGGAGGGGGGGGGGAGUAACAACGUCACGCACCAGACCUCUGAUCAGAAAAGACUACCCGCUGAGUUUAAGCAUAUCACUAAGCGGAGGAGAAGAAAC